AUAAAUCUCUCUCCCUGCUCCCUAAAUCUCUCCCACAUCUCAACCAAAUAUUAUUCCUCUAUAAUUUUUGCUGCCAUUCGUUUCUCUUGUCUCUGCAACAAAACAAGAAUUAUUCUUUAAUUUCCUACUUAAGAAAUCGAGAACCAAACUCGAGAGAGGGAGCUAUCGAUAAUUCUCUCAAAAUCCGUUGAAGAGUACGUUCGCAAGUAAAGUCGGAACGAAAGAUUCAAGUUAAGGGGACUAAACGAUCAAGGUUGAGCGGGAUGUUGCGGUGGAUGUUGAGCUGGCUAAAGACCCUAGGAUACGUUGUG